rnacentral:tRNA from 1 species
GUCGCUGUGGCGAAAUGGCAGACGCAGCAGAUUUAAAAUCUGCUGGGGGAAACCCCGUGCGGGUUCGAGUCCCGCCAGCGGCA